UUUGAAGGGUUCUAAAACACAUAUGGGCCCUAAUUCGAGAACCCAUGUUCCACUUAUUGAGAAUCUGCUAAAUCUUUAUAUCACUUGUAGUCGAUUGGUAAAUUAGGGGUUUCUUUAUGUGCUAUUGAUUGGAAUUACUCUAUGUGGUCUUUUGGUCCAUCGGAAGAUGUUUUAUGUUAGGUCUCUCAGCCUUGUAGACAAUUACAUCAGUCAUGUGUUUAAGUUUACUCUGUAUUUGAAGCUAAGUUGCGUUAAGGGCUUUUAAAUAACAUCUAUUUGGUGAUUCAUGAGUGUUUGGUGUUGUAUGUGAUUACAUUUGUCGCUAAGAGAUGAGAUGUAUGUGUGUGUGUUUGGGAUAGGUCCAAGCGUUAGCUGCUGAAACCGAACAAGUCGGGUGAUAGAUUGGUUAACAACCAUAGGAGCUGUGAGUAUCGCAAAAUAAGUCGGCGUGGAUCCCCUAAAUUCAUGGAAAAAGCUUUGGCAUUCACUGGAAUUUUGAGCAACACUCUUGCUCUCCCAGCUUCAAACGCUCCCAAUAAGCAGAGUCAAAGCAUCAAAUGUGCUCGUGUUGGUGGUGUGGAGAUUCCGGUUAAUAAGAGAAUUGAGUACUCUCUUCAGUACAUUCAUGGGAUUUGUUAGGUUAUUUGUUCUUUCUCGUUGAGUGGUUGUGAAUCUAAAUUCUUUGUACAUAGCUUAUAAAGAUCAAACCGAACCACCAUUGUAACUGUGAUAGUUAUGUUGAUGAGGAUGGUAAUCUGUGUCAUCUAUAAUUCGUAUAAACAUAAUCAUGGAUUCGUCUUCUU